UACGAGGGGUGCAAGCGUUAUUCGGAAUCACUGGGCGUAAAGGGUGUGCAGACGGUUUAUUAAGUUGCUUGUUUAAUUCUUCGGCCUAACCGAAGGCUCGCAAGCAAAACUGGUAGACUUGAGGAUGGAAGAGAGAAGUGGAAUUCUCGGAGUAGCGGUAAAAUGCGUAGAUCUCGAGAGGAACACCAAUGGCGAAGGCAGCUUCUUGGUCCAUUCCUGACGUUCAUACACGAAAGCGUGGGGAGCAAACAGG
rnacentral:rRNA from 1 species